GACGAACGCUGGCGGCGUGCUUAACACAUGCAAGUCGAACGGAAAGGCCCUUCUUGUGUGAGUUGCUCGAGUAGCGAACGGGUGAGUAACACGUGAGUAACCUUCCCUUGACUUUUGAGUAACUUCAGGAAACUGUGGCUAAUACCGGAUAGGAGCUCCUGCGUCAUUGUGGGAAUUGGAAAUUUUCGGCGGUUGGGGAUGGGCUCGCGGCUUAUCAUCUUGUUGGUGGGGUAGUGGCUUACCAAGGCGUUGACGGGUAGCCGGCUUGGGGGGGUGACCGGCAACAUUGGGCCUGGGAUCGGGCCAAGCUUCUUCGGGGAGGAAGAAGUGGGGAAUUUUGACAAAUGGGCGGAGGCUGGAUCAAGGACGGCCGGGUGCGGGAUGACGGCUUCGGGGUUGUAACUCGCUUCCGCCUGUGCCGAAGCGUUAGUGACGGUACUGGGUAAAGAAGCACCGGCUAACUACGUG
rnacentral:rRNA from 1 species